GGGUGUGGCUCGCUGACCACGCCCCCUUUUUCUGUGGCUCCUCCCCUCAGUGGCCGCGGCCUACACGGAGCUGGUCACCUACCAGAGGAAGCACAACGUGAACCCCCUGCGGGGCUUCCUCGUCCCAUUGGUGCAGACGCCCGUGUUCGUGUCGUUCUUCCUGGCCCUGCAGGGCCUGGCGGCGGCUCCGGCCCCGGGGCUGCUCCGGGGAGGAUUGGGCUGGUUCCAGGACCUGUCAGCCUCCGACCCCUAUUACGUGCUGCCCCUCCUGGUCACGGCCUCCACCUGGAUGGUGCUCGAGCUGGGGGCGGAGACGGGCGUGGCCUCGCCCGGGGGCGGGGCCGUGCGGCAGCUGCUGAGGCUCCUCCCCCUUUUCUUCCUGCCCUUCAUCCUCCACUUCCCCGCGGUC